AGUGAACGCUGGCGGUAGGCCUAACACAUGCAAGUCGAACGGCAGCACAGGAGAGCUUGCUCUCUGGGUGGCGAGUGGCGGACGGGUGAGGAAUACAUCGGAAUCUACUCUGUCGUGGGGGAUAACGUAGGGAAACUUACGCUAAUACCGCAUACGACCUACGGGUGAAAGCAGGGGAUCUUCGGACCUUGCGCGAUUGAAUGAGCCGAUGUCGGAUUAGCUAGUUGGCGGGGUAAAGGCCCACCAAGGCGACGAUCCGUAGCUGGUCUGAGGAGAUGAACAGCCACGCUGAGACUGAGACACGCUCCAGACUCCUACGGGAGGCAGCAGUGGGGAAUAUUGGACAAUGGGCGCAAGCCUGAUCCAGCCAUACCGCGUGGGUGAAGAAGGCCUUCGGGUUGUAAAGCCCUUUUGUUGGGAAAGAGAUCCAGCUGGCUAAUACCCGGUUGGGAGGACGGUACCCAAAGAAUAAGCACCGGCUAACUUCGUGCCAGCAGCCGCAGUAA
rnacentral:rRNA from 1 species